UUGAGACACCACACACAGAUGUCUGCAAACGACCUCGCGCGCAUCGGCGCUAGUGCGGGGGAGGAAAGCCGGCCCAAGACGCGGGGAUGGCCCUCCGGGGACAGGGCCGGGCCGGCUGCACGCGGCCGCUGCAGGAGCUUCCCGGCUAAGCCGUCCUGCGUCCAAACGCAGCCCCGCCGCUGCGCCGGGCCGGGGCACGAACUGCACUAAGGCCUGCGGACCAACAGCUCUCCGAUGAAAGCCGGCGUUUCAUCCUCAGACGCCGCUUCCGGCUGUCCGAGGGCUGCUCUGACGUCAAGCGCCCUUUCCGCUUCCCGGCCUCGGCGCGGAGGUUCCGGCUGCUUCCCGUUCGCCGGGGCCGGCCUGGAAGCCGAGAGACGGGGUCAGAGCCCCUGGAAAGCCCUCUCUGUCAUCUCCAGUCUUUUCUACGAAUUUCCUGGACUUUUAAGGAGCGGAAGAAACCUUUUUUUUUUUUUCUUAACAACGCGAACGGAAACGCAAAGAACAUUCGGUCCCCUGGCUGGUGGAUGUUCAGAAAGAAAAAAGAAAGUCGCAAGACACAUUUCUCAUCCAUGCUAAGUAUACUCCGGCUUCCCAAGUAUCACUUCAGAGGUGAAGAAGGAUGGUGGAGAAUCUUGGCUAAUGUCACUUAUUACAUCUCAACCUAAGGCAAAGCACUUCAGCUAUGUGGCCCUCAAUUACCCCAUCUAUAAAAUGGGGGAGAUUGCCUUAGCUCCUCUCUGAGGUCUCUUCAGAUUAAAAUAUGUAUAUAAAUGC